GAGAUAGCUCAGCUUGCAGAGCAUGAGACUUUUAAUCUAAGGAUUGUGAGUUCAAGCCCCACCUUGGACA